rnacentral:rRNA from 1 species
AUUGAACGCUGGCGGCAUGCUUUACACAUGCAAGUCGAACGGUAACAGGCCGCAAGGUGCUGACGAGUGGCGCACGGGUGAGUAAUGCAUCGGAACGUGCCCAGUCGUGGGGGAUAACUACUCGAAAGAGUAGCUAAUACCGCAUACGAUCUAUGGAUGAAAGCGGGGGACCGUAAGGCCUCGCGCGAUUGGAGCGGCCGAUGUCAGAUUAGGUAGUUGGUGGGGUAAAGGCUCACCAAGCCAACGAUCUGUAGCUGGUCUGAGAGGACGACCAGCCACACUGGGACUGAGACACGGCCCAGACUCCUACGGGUGGCAGCAGUGGGGAAUUUUGGACAAUGGGCGCAAGCCUGAUCCAGCAGUGCCGCGUGCAGGAAGAAGGCCUUCGGGUUGUAAACUGCUUUUGUACGGAACGAAACGGCUCUGGUUAAUACCCGGGGCUAAUGACGGUACCGUAAGAAUAAGCACCGGCUAACUACGUG